rnacentral:misc_RNA from 1 species
AAGUCGUAACAAGGUUUCCGUAGGUGAACCUGCGGAAGGAUCAUUACAGAAUAAACUUGGUGGGUUGUAGCUGGCUCCCUUGGAGCAUGUGCACGCUCAUCACCUUUAUCCAUCCACCUGUGCACAAUUUGUAGUCUUGAGGGAACUGAAAGCGGACUGAUGUCUGUGAUCAUUCUUUUGAGUCUAUGUGUCUUCAUAUACUACCAUAGCAUGUCACAGAAUGUAUUUAAUGGGCUUCAUGCCUAUAAAAACUUUAUUACAACUUUCAGCAACGGAUCUCUUGGCUCUC